AAAAAACAGAAUUUAUGAAUGCAAAACAUCAUCACAAAAUACUGAUCUUGGGUUAAAAGGAGAAAAUUUAGUUUUAAAAACUCAAGAAUUUUAAUUGCUUCAUAACACAUUAAAAGUACUCAAUAACUACCUGCCGGUUCAAACAAAAUUAUCAACAGUUUCAAACAACAAAUCACCACCAAUACCUAAAGAAAAUGUUUCCAACUUUUACUGCGAUAUAAAUAGAUUACUGGUUAAGUCAUUUGGCGUUCAUACUUAUGAAGAAAAAAUGGGAAUUACUUUAAGAGGGAGGCCUACUCCUACAUUACCCAAUUUUAAAUCUAAAACUAAAAAUUGUUACCGAUAUUUUAAAGAAUGUUUUUAUAAAAUUUGUGAUUGGCUUUGUGGUUGUUCAGACAAAUUAUAUUGCUGGCCCUGCAUACUUUUUUCACAUAGUGAAUCAAAUAUCUGGUCAAAAUAUGGUUUUACUGAUAUGUUUAAUUUUCAUGGUUUAAAAAUUUUUGGGAAAAACAGAAUAGAUAUUUGUUUAAGUGAACAUUUAAAAAAAAAAACAUAAGUAAAUAUAAUGAAAAUGUAGAUAAUAAUAGGUACAUUGUAAGUAAAUUAAUUGAUAUCACUUGUUUUCUCGUUAAAAAAGAAUUAGCUUUUAGAGGUCACAAUGAAAAAUUAAAUUCUUUAAAUAAAGGUAAUUUUGUCGAAACAUUUAACUUGCUCUCUUCUAUUGAUGAUUAAAAUUUCAUAUUUCAAAUUCUACUGUUUUUAUAAACCUUUCUAAUGACAUACAAAAUGAUUUGAUAAAUUCCAUUAAAAAUUUUAUAAUUACCAAAAUUAAAAAUUAAAUUAAACAUGCUGAGUUCUUAGCAAUAAUUACUGAUGAAACAACUGAUAUAACUAAAAAAUCACAACUCACAACAGUAUUUAGACAUGUUAAUGAUAAGAACGUUCAAGAGAUUUAUUGGGUUUUGUGAUAUUAGUGCAGAUAGGUCCGCUAAACCUUUAGCAGAUCAUUUUUUUUUCAAUAUUUCCAGACCAGAGUAUAUAUGUGAUGAGAAUAAAUUAGUUGCUCAAAUAUAUAAUGGAACAGCUGUUAUGUCUGGUUCUCAUUAUGGUUUGCAGACUUUAAUAAGACAUAAAUAUAAAUAUGCCACAUAUAUCCAUUGCUAUGCACAUAAACUUGAUUUAGUUCUUAAACAGUCAGUAUCUCAUGUAAAAGAAUGUAAAAUAUUUUUUAAGAAACUAAACGAAUUCGCUGUUUUUUUCUCUAAAAGUACAAAAAGAAUAAAUGAAUUAAAUUUAAUAGUUAAAAAACAGUUUCCAGCUAUUUCUCCGACAAGUUUGAACUAUAAUAGUAGACUAAUUAAUACUGAAGUUGAACAUAAAGAAAAAAAUAAAACAAUUAAUGCAGACUAUUGUAGAUAAUGCUGAUAAAUGGGAUACUGAAUCAUUAAUAUGUGCUAGAGGGUUUUGUUUAACUUUAGAAGAUUUUGAUUUUAAUAUCAAUUUGAUUAUUUUUGGUAAAAUACUACCCUUAGCAUGGUACCUUUUUGACGUAUUGCAAAAAAAAGUAUUUCAUAUUGUACUCAAACAAUUAAAACAUUAAGAAACAAUUAAAUGAAUAUAAGCAAAAAUUUGAUUUAGUCUAGAAUUAAGUAAAUAAAUUAGAAAAAUAUAAAGUAGUUCCCUUUAGAAGUAAAAGAUCUUGAAUGAUCACAGUAUCAGUAGAUAGGAAAAUUAAUUAUAAACGUUUAUUCUAUGAAAUAAUAGAUACUAUAUUGGUCAAAAUUGAUGAAAGAUUUUCUAAAGUACACAAUUGAAAAUGUAUGGGGUUCCUUAAUUUUGAACAAUUUUUUUAUUACAAAAAUUAUAUUUCUCAGGAUAAAUUUAGUUCACUUAAGCAGAUUUAUGGCCAUUAUUUUGAAUUACCAAAACUAAAGAGUGAAUUGUCAAUUAUUAAUUAAUUAAUUAAUUCAUUUGAUCAGUUUUAUCAAAUACAUACUUAUAAACAUUAGAAUAUUUGAGGGAAACAGAUUCAACAACCGCCCUAAUACAAGUCACUAAAUUAUGUAAAUUAGUUUUAACUAUUUCUGCAACCAGUGCUUCUGCUAAAAGAUCUUUUUCUGCUUUAAAAAGGAUAGACUUACUUAAGAAUUAAUCAAACUCAAAAUAGACUUUCAAAUUUAUCUUUACUUUCCAUAAAAAAAGAUGUUUUAAUGAGUACAAAGUGUGAACUUAAUUUUUAUAAUGAUGUGAUUAAUGAUAUGUCAAAACAAAAUAGAAGAAUUUAAUUAUAUUAGAAGUAAACUUGUAAACUAUACUUGAAUUAAGUAUCUAUUAAAAAAUAUCAUUUGAUUUAU
rnacentral:lncRNA from 1 species